rnacentral:lncRNA from 1 species
AACACAGCCAAGUUACUAGGUACCGGGCACCAUGCCUAGUGCUUCAUACAGAUGAACUCAGUUAAAUCACGGUGGCUCUUCAAAUAGGAUCCUCAAGGAAACUCAAGGAGCAACAAAAUUCAAAAUGUAGGUAUGGAGAGAGAAGAUACAAGUCAGAAAUGUGGAAAAGCUCACAGAAAUAUGGGGCUUCUACUCAAUAACCCACCUUUGCUGGAAGACCACCAAAUCCUACCACUUUGUUAUGAUAGAGUCCCCAGUGUCACAGCCCAAUAUCAUUACACAGCCCUCUACUACUCCAGGCUGGCAUGGGGCCUGACUUGCUGCCCACAGCAAGCCGUGAGGAGGUCCCCAGCCAGUGCGGCGCUCUCUGGAAUGAGAGAGGUUGGAGGAGCCAAGAGAAGCAUGCUGAUGAGAACAAAGGGUGACAAGAGACCAAUGAAGUGACUGCAG